GAACUGAAGAGUUUGAUCAUGGCUCAGAUUGAACGCUGGCGGCAGGCCUAACACAUGCAAGUCGAGCGGUAGAGAGAAGCUUGCUUCUCUUGAGAGCGGCGGACGGGUGAGUAAUACCUAGGAAUCUGCCUGAUAGUGGGGGAUAACGUUCGGAAACGGACGCUAAUACCGCAUACGUCCUACGGGAGAAAGCAGGGGACCUUCGGGCCUUGCGCUAUCAGAUGAGCCUAGGUCGGAUUAGCUAGUUGGUGAGGUAAUGGCUCACCAAGGCUACGAUCCGUAACUGGCCUGAGAGGAUGAUCAGUCACACUGGAACUGAGACACGGUCCAGACUCCUACGGGAGGCAGCAGUGGGGAAUAUUGGACAAUGGGCGAAAGCCUGAUCCAGCCAUGCCGCGUGUGUGAAGAAGGUCUUCGGAUUGUAAAGCACUUUAAGUUGGGAGGAAGGGCAGUUACCUAAUACGUGAUUGUCUUGACGUUACCGACAGAAUAAGC
rnacentral:rRNA from 1 species